AGUGAACGCUGGCGGUAGGCCUAACACAUGCGAGUCGAACGGCAGCACAGUAAGAGCUUGCUCUUACGGGUGGCGAGUGGCGGACGGGUGAGGAAUACAUCGGAAUCUACUUUUUCGUGGGGGAUAACGUAGGGAAACUUACGCUAAUACCGCAUACGACCUACGGGUGAAAGCAGGGGAUCUUCGGACCUUGCGCGAUUGAAUGAGCCGAUGUCGGAUUAGCUAGUUGGCGGGGUAAAGGCCCACCAAGGCGACGAUCCGUAGCUGGUCUGAGAGGAUGAUCAGCCACACUGGAACUGAGACACGGUCCAGACUCCUACGGGAGGCAGAAGUGGGGAAUAUUGGACAAUGGGCGCAAGCCUGAUCCAGCCAUACCGCGUGGGUGAAGAAGGCCUUCGGGUUGUAAAGCCCUUUUGUUGGGAAAGAAAAGCAGCAGGUUAAUACCCCGCUGUUCUGACGGUACCCAAAGAAUAAGCACCGGCUAACUUCGUG
rnacentral:rRNA from 1 species